rnacentral:rRNA from 1 species
GACAGAGGUCCCGAGCGUUAGGCGGAAUCACUGGGCUUAAAGCGUGUGUAGGCGGAUCUGUAAGUACCUUGUGAAAUCCCACGGCUCAACCGUGGAACUGCUGGGUAUACUGCGGAUCUUGAGCCACCUAGGGGCGAGCGGAACAAGUGGUGGAGCGGUGAAAUGCGUAGAUAUCACUUGGAACGCCAAUGGUGAAAACAGCUCGCUGGGGUGUGCUGACGCUGGAGACACGAAAGCCAGGGGAGCAAACGGG